rnacentral:rRNA from 1 species
GACGUAGGAUGCAAGCGUUGUCCGGAUUUAUUGGGCGUAAAGAGUUCGUAGGUGGUUUGUUAAGUCUGAUGUUAAAGACUGGGGCUCAACCUCGGGACUGCAUUGGAUACUGGCAGACUUGAGUGCGGUAGAGGCAAGUGGAAUUCCAGGUGUAGCGGUGAAAUGCGUAGAUAUCUGGAGGAACACCUGUGGUGUAGACAGCUUACUGGACCAUUUCUGACGCUGAGACACGAAAGCGUGGGUAGCAAACAGG